GAUGAACGCUGGCGGCGUGCUUAACACAUGCAAGUCGAACGGAAAGGCUCCUGCUUGCCGUGGUACUCGAGUGGCGAACGGGUGAGUAACACGUGGGUGAUCUGCCCUGCACUUUGGGGUAAGCCUGGGAAACUGGGUCUAAUACCGGAUAGGACGAUGGUUUGGAUGCCAUUGUGGAACGUUUUUUCGGUCUGGGAUUAGCUCGCGGCCUAUCAGCUUGUUGGUGGGGUAUUGGCAUACGAAGGCGUCGCCGGAUAGCCGGCCUGGGAAGGUGGACGGCGACAAUGGUACUGAGGGAGGGAGCAGACGGCAACGGGCGGCAAUGGGCGCAAAUAUGACACAAUGGGCGCGCGCCUGAUGAAAAGACGCCGCGUUGGUGAUGACCGCCUUCGGGUAGUAAACUGCUUUCGCUAAAGACGAAGCGCAAGUGACGGUACCUGAAGAAGAAGCACCGGCUAACUACGUG
rnacentral:rRNA from 1 species